rnacentral:rRNA from 1 species
AAAUGAAUAGACGGGGACCCGCACAAGCAGUGGAGUAUGUGGUUUAAUUCGAAGCAACGCGAAGAACCUUACCAGGGCUUGACAUCCAUAGAACCCUCUGGAGACAGAGGGGUGCCUUCGGGAGCUAUGAGACAGGUGGUGCAUGGUUGUCGUCAGCUCGUGUCGUGAGAUGUUGGGUUAAGUCCCGCAACGAGCGCAACCCUUAUCGUUAGUUGCCAGCAUUAAGUUGGGCACUCUAGCGAGACUGCCGGUGACAAAUCGGAGGAAGGUGGGGACGACGUCAAAUCAUCAUGCCCCUUAUGUCCUGGGCUACACACGUACUACAAUGGCUGAAAACAGAGGGAAGCGAAGCCGUGAGGUGGAGCAAAUCCCCAAAAGCAGUCUCAGUUCGGAUUGCAGGCUGAAACCCGCCUGCAUGAAGUCGGAAUUGCUAGUAAUCGCGAAUCAGCAUGUCGCGGUGAAUACGUUCCCGGGUCUUGUACACACCGCCCGU